UGUUUAUUGGCAUGUAUAUAAAUCUCUGUAAUGCGAUAAUUGACUUAAUUAUUUUGACAUCUGUAAAACAGUAACGGUUUGACAAGAAAAUUUCCAAUAUGAAAGCAGCAGUUGGUUUACUUAUCUGUUUUUGUGUAGCAUAUUUCACAGUAUGUGAAGCUAAUUAUGGCUGUCCAAUUAAAAUUGCUUGUAAAAUCCACUGUCUUACUAAACGCUGUUUUGGAAAAUGUACUGGAGGCUGGCUUAAAACGAAAUGCAAAUGCUAUUGGUGUAGGAAGUCUAAUCAAGACCAGGUCAUAGGGGACUUCCCAUCUAAUGAAGAGACUGAGGAAUUUCCUUCAGACGAAUUCAAUGAGGACAAAUUAUAUUAACUAUAUAGUAUGUUUGUCGAUACCGUCUAACAAUAUAUAGACACAGUAUGAACAGUUGCAGAGUAUAUAUAUUUAUAUGAAUAUUAUAUAUAAAAUUUCAAUAAUUUAUUAUA